AUUGUACUUGCUCUUAGAGGACUCAUGUCCUUAUCUAGAACACACACAGUUCUAUAUAAAAUAAAAUAUACGUGGAUGCCAACCCACUCGUCGCACAAGAAAUGUGUGAGGGUGGCCGCAUCUCAUGAGAACAACGUUGUUGGUCCUAUGAAGAACAACGUCUCAUACACCCAUCAAGCGUGGGUCGUGACAGUCCCGCUAGGUGGGUGAUUGACGAUUACCUCCUGUCAACAUGCCCCUUCCAGGGUGGCAUGCCGAUCUUCAUCAAGACAUGUCCUCAAGAUGCAGAUUUUUGUGAUGAAACUCGCUGACAAGACCAUCGUCCUUGAGGAGGAGUCCUCCAACACCAUAACGAUGUUAAGGUCAAGAUCACCAAAGCAAGUCAUUACAU
rnacentral:lncRNA from 1 species